rnacentral:rRNA from 1 species
GAUGAACGCUGGCGGUAUGCCUAACACAUGCAAGUCGUACGAGAGUUUUUAACUCUAGUGGCGGACGGGUGAGUAACACGUGAGAAUUUGCCUUUAGGAGGGGGAUAACAAUUGGAAACGAAUGCUAAUACCCCAUAUGCUUUUGAGUGAAACGGAUUUAUCCGCCUAGAGAGAAGCUCGCGGCUGAUUAGCUUGUUGGUAAGGUAAGAGCUUACCAAGGCGACGAUCAGUAUCUGGUUUGAGAGGACGAUCAGACACACUGGAACUGAGACACGGUCCAGACUCCUACGGGAGGCAGCAGUGGGGAAUUUUCCGCAAUGGGCGAAAGCCUGACGGAGCAAUACCGCGUGAGGGAAGAAUGCCUAUGGGUUGUAAACCUCUUUUUCUAGGGAGGAAUAAAAUGACGUGUACCUGAAGAAUAAGACAUCGGCUAACUCCGUG